rnacentral:misc_RNA from 1 species
AUUUCACAUAAUACAUGAGUCAAUAAACCUAUCAAGAAUGUGUGUACAUAAAAAUAUAUAAAUGAUAAAAAUAUUAUUAUGUUGAUUUGUUAAAGUGUGUGAUUUUAAGUUAUUAAGUGUGACAACAGAAUGUAAUUCUUUAUUGUUGUAUGUUUAUUUUUGUGCUUAAUGCUUUAAGUUUAUGCCAAACUUUGAUUUGUUCAUCCUUUACAAAGCAAACCUUGGCUAAAUUUAGUUAUGAACAUGCAUCAUUCAAAUAUGGUACAAUGUGUUUCAUUGAGGAUUACAAGUUGUUAAUGGAUGUCAUAGAAAAGUAGUCUUGUAUUGAACAUUACUAGAAAAAAUAGCAUUAUUUGAUAGUUGCCCUACUGUCCAAAAAAGAUUUGCUUUGUAAAAUGUACAUUAAUGAGUCACAAGUUUUGUUAUACCAGUAUGGAAAAUCACAUUUUGUUACAGCUUAACUUUUGAAUAUAGAAGUAAAAAUCUUUCUCUUCUCUAUCAGAAUAGAUUUUAUCAGGGAGACUCUCUCUCUCUCUCUCUCUCUCUCUCUCUCUCUCUCUCUCUCUCUCUCUCUCUCUCUCUCUCUCUCUCUCUCUCUCUCUCAGAAACAUUAUAAAAAGAAUCAGAUUGUUUAACAUUUUUUGUGACUCUUUGAUGUAGAUGAACAGUUGUUAUGCAUUGUUAUUACAAUUAUAUUGUUGAAUGAGAUACCCAUUUGUCUUUCAAUUAUGGGAAAUAAAGUUUAUGCUCACAGC